rnacentral:tmRNA from 1 species
GGGGCUGAUUCUGGAUUCGACGAGAUUAGCGAACCCCAAGGUGCAUGCCGAGGUGCGGUGGCCUCGUAAAAACCGCAAAAAAAUAGUUGCAAAAACAACAAAACUAGCACUUUUCUCUAAAAUGGUUCCUGCUAACAAUUCUGGUCCAUUAGUGAGAGUAGCAGCCUAAGAAACUGCAGGUGUCCUUUCUCCCUAGCCUCCGCUCUUAGGACGGGGAUCAAGAGAGGUCAAAUUUAAAAGAGAUCGCGUGGAUGCCUUGCUUGGGGUUGAAGCGUUAAACCUAAUCAAGCUAUGUUAGUUAGUGGCGUGUCCAUCCGCAGCUAACCGAUGAAUAUAAAGAUUGGACUAAGCAUGUAGUGCCGACGGCGUAGUAAUUUCGGACGGGGGUUCAAAUCCCCCCAGCUCCACCA